rnacentral:rRNA from 1 species
AACGUAGGAGACAACCGUUAUCCGGAGUUACUGGGCGUAAAGGGCGUGUAGGUGGUAGUGUAAGUCUGGCGUGAAAUUUUUCGGCUUAACCGGGAAAGGUCGUCGGAUACUGCACAACUAGAGGACGGUAGAGGCGUGUGGAAUUCCGGGUGUAGUGGUGAAAUGCGUAGAGAUCCGGAGGAACACCAGUGGCGAAGGCGACACGCUGGGCCGUACCUGACGCUGAGACGCGAAAGCGUGGGGAGCGAACCGG